UACGUAGGGUGCAAGCGUUGUCCGGAAUUAUUGGGCGUAAAGAGCUCGUAGGCGGUCUGUCGCGUCGGCUGUGAAAACCCGGGGCUCAACCCCGGGCCUGCAGUCGAUACGGGCAGACUAGAGUGCGGUAGGGGAGACUGGAAUUCCUGGUGUAGCGGUGAAAUGCGCAGAUAUCAGGAGGAACACCGGUGGCGAAGGCGGGUCACUGGGCCGUAACUGACGCUGAGGAGCGAAAGCGUGGGGAGCGAACAGG
rnacentral:rRNA from 1 species